rnacentral:snRNA from 1 species
AUGGUAAGACGAGUUUGGAUCGA